GUCCUGAAGAAUAGAAGUACCUUCUAGGAUUUGAGUAUACACUUCCUGGCACGUGGCAAUACUUGGAACCCAGCACGCCUGCAGAACAGUCACAGGAGCAAGAAUGUAUCGUCCCUGAUGCAGAAAGCUAGGCUUCAGCGCAUGGAAUUCCCAAGCUUCAGCUUUCCCAGUGCAAAGCAAUUUGAGUACAGGCUACA